AUAAAUGCACAGAAAUUAAAGGCUAUGAACCAAAAGUAAAAAGGCUGAGGAAUCUUAUUUUGAAAGGAUUUCAUUUCAAAAGCAUGCCCUCUGCCGGAGCAGUGGUGGCAUGAAAUCUGGAGACAAAAUUAGAAAGAACUCUGCAGUUCUUUAACUGGGCAGGCGAAUGUCCAGUCUGACACCCAAGGAUUUUAUUUAUGUAAAGACUAAAGAGCAUAGGUUGUGCUGCCUGUUCCAAUGAACUUCAGUCACAUAGUCCAGAAAAUUCAUUCCUGUGUGGGCACUUCAGAGAAAUGGGGAGAAGUCUGGGGGGCCAUCUUUGACAUGACGAAGGAAUGCUGGAAAUGUUGCUACUGAGACUAGAAGUUAGAUUUACUGAGUUAUUUAAUAUCCUAAAA